GACAUUGGGUCCCUGCGGUACAGACCAGUGCAGCUACUGGUUCCUUUCACAGCGAGUCUCCUUGGGGGGACAGGGAAGAGCAAGGAGCUCAGAGCCACACUGGGUUGUCCUACCAGAGCCACCACGACCCUCUGCUCUCCUGGCCACGAGGACAGCCAGCUCUCAUCACUGCAGCUCUCCAAAUCUUCCCAAUGCCAGUGUGACACUUUCACCCUCUGGGCUUUCAGAAGGAGCCCUGAAAACAAGCACUCUCAGCCCAGGGUUUUUUUGUGUGCCAAAAUUGUGACCUGGUGUGUGGGCCACAGGAGGUGUUCUUGGGGCUGGCUGUUACAGCACCGGCUCCUGUGGCUCCUCAGAAUAGCGUCCCCGUGCCAGGGGCUGAGCAGAGGCCCAGCAUCCAUUUCACAGUUGUGCCAGGGUAAAUCCACCGCGAGCAAGGCAGCUCCUUUGUGCCCAUGUCACUCUGUCCACGGGGCUCCUGGACCAGCUGAGUGCUGGGGGCAGAUCUCCCUCGCAGGGACAGGGCUUAUGUUGGCAGAAGAAUGGUCACCUGUUGCCAGUAUUCCUCAGACCAGUUUCCCACGCUGUGCAAACUGUGUCUGGGAUAAAACUAGUUUCUGCUGAUGCUGCUUUUGUCAGAAGAGGAAAAAUAUCCCACCUAUAUCAGGUCCCGUC
rnacentral:lncRNA from 1 species